CAGAGGAUGACUGCAACCUUGAUUGUUUGGUUUCAGCCACUCGGUGGGGUCUGCAAGGCUGCUGGGCCACCAGGAGGAAACGGAUCCCUGCUGCCGACUGUAAGGUAGGAGCCGAGCGGGAGCCGCUUGACAUCAUCGGGCAGAGCAUUGGAUUACAGCAGGCAGGGACUGACUCCGGGGAGGAGAACACGCCCCUUGGCCCCACAAGUGCAACUUCAUUUAGCAGCUCCCGGCAGAAGGAAACUGCGAGUCUGGAACCGGCUGCGAGGCUCCCGGCCGGCUUGGCAGGAGGGCACAGAGGGCAGAGAGGGCAGGAGGGUGGGAUCCAGCCGCGAUCCCUUCAUUCAUCCAUCCCCUCCUCGGCGUUGGGACCGCGGGCUGGCUCAUUU
rnacentral:lncRNA from 1 species